GAUAGUGAAGCUAGUCUGGGAAGAGCGAGCAUCAGCUACCCGUAUCUGAGCCACUGUGCCGACAAGGCCCAGCCUCCUCGGGCUGGACACACCAGAGAUGGAUCUGACCUCCCCGAGUCUAAAAGGAAGACAAGUGUCACCCUGACACCGUGCAUGGCCUCCUGGCACAAGGCCCCACCAGCUGAUGAGAGGCCUUUGCUGGUCCAUCAGUGACCACACUGCGUGGGGCAGUGGGAUCAGGCAGGACAGGGCUUCAUCAUUCAUCAGAGGCCUCACCAGGCAAGAGCGGCGGUGAGAGAAGGUCUCGAAGCUUUUCUUGCCGUGGUAGGAUCCCAUGCCACUGUUCCCUGCGGAGGAGAAGUCAGCACAGGGCUCAGUAUCCUGCCCCCAGGACGCCCCAGGUUUCCCUCUCCACCUUGCUGGGUGUAUCCCAGAA
rnacentral:antisense_RNA from 1 species